rnacentral:rRNA from 1 species
GAUGGGAGCUUGCUCCCUGAAGUCAGCGGCGGACGGGUGAGUAACACGUGGGCAACCUGCCUGUAAGACUGGGAUAACUCCGGGAAACCGGGGCUAAUACCGGAUGAUUCUUUCCCUCACAUGAGGGAAAGCUGAAAGAUGGUUUCGGCUAUCACUUACAGAUGGGCCCGCGGCGCAUUAGCUAGUUGGUGAGGUAACGGCUCACCAAGGCGACGAUGCGUAGCCGACCUGAGAGGGUGAUCGGCCACACUGGGACUGAGACACGGCCCAGACUCCUACGGGAGGCAGCAGUAGGGAAUCUUCCGCAAUGGACGAAAGUCUGACGGAGCAACGCCGCGUGAGUGAUGAAGGUUUUCGGAUCGUAAAACUCUGUUGUUAGGGAAGAACAAGUACCGGAGUAACUGCCGGUACCUUGACGGUACCUAACCAGAAAGCCACGGCUAACUACGUGCCAGCAGCCGCGGUAAUACGUAGGUGGCAAGCGUUGUCCGGAAUUAUUGGGCGUAAAGCGCGCGCAGGCGGUUCCUUAAGUCUGAUGUGAAAGCCCCCGGCUCAACCGGGGAGGGUCAUUGGAAACUGGGGAACUUGAGUGCAGAAGAGAAGAGUGGAAUUCCACGUGUAGCGGUGAAAUGCGUAGAGAUGUGGAGGAACACCAGUGGCGAAGGCGACUCUUUGGUCUGUAACUGACGCUGAGGCGCGAAAGCGUGGGGAGCAAACAGGAUUAGAUACCCUGGUAGU